rnacentral:lncRNA from 1 species
UUGCAAUUAUGUCCUGUAUAUCUUCAUCUUUAGGGGUCUAAGGGCCUAUGAAUUUAUUCUGUAAAGAAUCUCUAUAUUGGUCUACUUUAACUAAUUUGUAUGUCUUCAUGUAUGUAUAUUCACAUGUCUCCUUCCACCUAAGAUGUAUUUCCUCAGGAUCUGUCCACCUUGUUUGUCAGGAAAGGAUCUCUCCUUGACCUGGAAGACUGCAUAACACAAUAGGUUGGACUGUCAAUGGCCCCUGGCAUCUCUGCCAGUACCUGCCUACCUAGCAUCAGGACUACAAUGCCCACUUCAAGUUUCUUUUCUUUAAUAGAGUUCUGAAGAUUAAACUCAGUUCUUCUUGCAAGUUGAUCUACCUUCUCAGCUCGCAUACCCAAUUUUCAGACAGGGGCCAAGCAUAGCUGUUCUCUGAGAGGCUCUACGAGAAGCUGACUGACACAGAUGCAGAGAAUUACAGCCAACCAUUGGACUGAGGUUGGACACCCCUAUGGAAGAGUUGGAUGAAGGAUUGAAAGAACUGAAGGUGAUGGCAACUACCAUAGGAAAACCAACAGUGCCAACUAACCUGGACCCAUGGGAGCAACCAAAGAACAUACAUGGACUGGCCCAUGGCCCCUGGCAUAUAUGUAGCAGAGAACUGCUUUGUCUAGCCUCAAUGGGAGAGGAUGAACCUAAUCCUAUGGAGACUUGAUGCCCAAGGGAAGGGGGAUAACCCAGGGAUGGGGCAGUAAAGUGAGGUGAGGUGGGG